rnacentral:rRNA from 1 species
CCUACGGGAGGCAGCAGUGAGGAAUAUUGGUCAAUGGCCGAGAGCCUGAACCAGCCAAGUCGCGUGAGGGAUGAAUGUCCUAUGGAUUGUAAACCUCUUUUGUCAGGGAGCAAAGUCCCCCACGUGUGGGUUUUGGCGCGUACCUGACGAACAAGCAUCGGCUAACUCCGUGCCAGCAGCCGCGGUAAUACGGAGGCUGCGAGCGUUAUCCGGAGUUAUUGGGUUUAAAGGGUGCGUAGGCGGGUUCUCAAGUCAGCGGUAAAAUCGAGGAGCUCAACUGCUUCCAGCCGUUGAAACUGAUGAUCUUGAGUGGGCGAGAAGUAGGCGGAAUGCGUGGUGUAGCGGUGAAAUGCAUAGAGAUCACGCAGAACUCCGAUUGCGAAGGCAGCAUACCGGCGCCCAACUGACGCUGAAGCACGAAAGCGUGGGUAUCGAACAGGAUUAGAUACCCGAGUAGUC